rnacentral:rRNA from 1 species
UAGAAUUCCAGGAGUAGCGGUGAAAUGCGUAGAUAUCUGGAGGAAUACCAAAGGCGAAGGCAGUCCCCUGGUCCGAUACUGACACUGAGGUACGAAAGCGUGGGGAGCAAACAGGAUUAGAUACCCUGGUAGUCCACGCCCUAAACGAUGUCGAUUAGCCAUUGGAAGGACCCCUUUUCCUUUCAGUGACGUAGCUAACGCGUUAAAUCGACCGCCUGGGAAGUACGACCGCAAGGUUAAAACUCAAAGGAAUUGACGGGGACCUGAACAAGCGGUGAAUGAUGUGGAUUAAUUCGAUGCUACGCGAAGAACCUUACCUACCUUUGACAUGGCCAAAGUUCUACCGAGAGGCGGAAGUACUCGUAAGAGGAUUGGCGCACAGGUGCUGCAUGGCUGUCGUCAGUUCGUGUCGUGAGAUGUUGGGUUCAGUCCCGCAACGAACGCAACCCUUAUCUUUAAUUGCUCCUAUUUUAACAGGCACUUUAAAGAAACUGCCAAUGAUAAGUUGGAGGAAGGUGGGGAUCACGUCAAGUCCGCAUGGCCUUUAUAGGUAGGGCUUCACACGUCAUACAAUGGUUAGAACAAAGAGCUGCAAAUUCGUAAGAAGGAGCCAAUCUCACAAACCUAACCUCAGUUCGAAUUGCGGUCUGCAACUCGAGCGCAUGAAGCCGGAAUCGCUGGUAAUCGUGGAUCAGAAUGC